rnacentral:rRNA from 1 species
UACGGAGGGGGCGAGCGUUAUUCGGAAUUAUUGGGCGUAAAGGGCGCGUAGGCGGCCCGGUAAGUCAAAGGUGAAAUCCCUCGGCUCAACUGAGGAACUGCCUUUGAAACUGUCGGGCUUGAGGCCGGGAGGGGGUAGCGGAAUUCCCAGUGUAGCGGUGAAAUGCGUAGAUAUUGGGAGGAACACCGGUGGCGAAGGCGGCUACCUGGACCGGUUCUGACGCUGAUGCGCGAAAGCGUGGGUAGCAAACAGGAUUAGAAACCCUUGUAGUCC